GAAGGCUGCUCAUGGUGAAAUCCUUCCCUGCUGAUUGGAGAAACUUGUAUGGGAAAUUUUGGUUCAGUGCAGACACUUUUAGUAGUAAUAGCUGCAUUUUUUCUGCAAAUGCUUCAAGAGAGCUGCAAAAUGUGCAACUAUGCAAGAUGUAAUGCAUAAGAUCUAUACAUGGAAUGGCAUAAAAAUCACACAGAACUAAAGGAAGGCAAACCACUGGAAGGGGGGAAAGUACAUACAACAGGCUUUACACUGUGAUAUCCAUUUUCCUCCAAACUACAAGAAUGCAGCUCAUUAUUUGUGUUUAGAACACUUUGUGGGAUACAG